UAAAAAUCUGGUAGGCCAUGAUUUUUGUAGAAUUUUGUAUUGUAUAUUGUUUUAUCAAAUUGUGUUUAUUUUAAUAGUUACAUACUAGCGCCAAAAGGUUAAAUUAUGAGCGAUUACAAAGUAAACUUAACAAGGGAGACGAACAAAAUAGAAGAAAACCAACCAGAAGCUUCAACAUCACGUGCCAAUCACAAGACAAGCAUGGAAAGUCCUCUGCGA